UGGGUGAGGAGUUGAGUCCUCGUUUGAGAAAUGAGUUGUUGUGGAUAGAGUUUUGACUUGGGUUUUCUCUCCCAUGAUCUCGUGAACAAAGUCGAGCAUUCCCUCCGCGGAUGUGGCACAGUACUGUGUCUCUCCCGUUAUAGGUGAUGAUAAUUCACAUAUUCUCAAUGCAUCUUCCAUGGAUUUAGCCUGUGGAGAGUUUUCAGACAACGAGAAACGUUGAAGAAGGUUUUGGAGUUCCUUGAAUGAAAAUGGAAUGGAAUCGGCUGCUUUUUUGGGAAAGAAAUUUUGCGGGGAAUUAGAAGGAGAAGAAAUUAGAUUUAUUCUUUUUUGAAAGGAGAGAGUUACUGUUUUCCCCAUCUUUAGAUCAUCCUGAAGGAAGAAAAUUGAUGCUAUCGAAGGAUCAUCCAUAUGUGUAUGGGAUGAUGAAUGCAUUAUAUGUUCAUUCCUUCUUUUCACUUGCUCGUUGUUUCCCUCUUUAUCAAAAAAGAGGGGAAUCGCCAGCUUUUUGU
rnacentral:lncRNA from 1 species